ACUAUAUUGGUCCAGUUCAGGAAUUAAUUCCAGAAACCCUCUAAACAGUCAGAGACAUGAUCCUUCAGCUGAAUCUCUUUCUUUUCUUUCUAGUCUUCCCAGGUGGCCAUGCAGAGGAUCUGCUGGUGGAGACCGGGGGCAGAGUUGUUGAACCUGGAGGCACCCUCCGCCUUACUUGCAAAGCUUCAGGAUUCACCUUUACUGAUUACUACAUGAACUGGAUCCGUCAGCCACCAGGGAAAGGACUUGAGUGGGUGGCUAGAGUAAGCAGUAGUGGAGGAAGCCAGUGGUAUAACUCCAAGGUCCAGGGCAGAUUCACCAUUUCCAGGGACAAUGCUCAAAGUUCAGCCUAUUUGCAGAUGACAAGCCUGAAGCCAGAAGACUCUGGCCUAUAUUACUGUGCAAGAAGCACAGUGACAGCUUCUGUUUUGCAACUUGUACAAAAACUUCAAAUGUCUCCCAAGAGAUGA